rnacentral:rRNA from 1 species
UACGUAGGGUGCGAGCGUUAAUCGGAAUUACUGGGCGUAAAGCGUGCGCAGGCGGUUUUGUAAGCCAGAUGUGAAAUCCCCGGGCUUAACCUGGGAAUGGCGAUGGAGACUGCGAGGCUAGAGUUUGGCAGAGGGGGGUAGAAUUCCACGUGUAGCAGUGAAAUGCGUAGAAAUGUGGAGGAACACCGAUGGCGAAGGCAGCCCCCUGGGUCAAAACUGACGCUCAUGCACGAAAGCGUGGGGAGCAAACAGG